AGAGAACUGAAAAUGGGACAGGAAGUUGUGAGAAGACAUAAAGCAGCUCUCAUGAGCUGAAUAAGGGCAAGGACAUUGUCCCACCAGCACACAGAAAAGCAUGGCAACCCUCCCUGGAAGGAUUCCUGCUGGUGUGGGGUUGAUUGAAGAAGAGGAUUCACCUGAGCUGGGAGCGGCCAGAAGGCUCCUAGCCCCUUUACAAGUACAGGAGAGCUGGGAGAGCUGACAGAAACCAAGUAUGUCUGGUCACUUCUAUCACCAGAAACAUGAUUUGUCAUUUUUGCUGGGGUUACAAAGGUAACUAACGUGAUUCUGUAUCUUACAUGGAUGAAAAUAUGUUUUGAAGAUAUGCUUGAUAUCUCUCAUCUCCUUUCUAGCAUACAGAGUCAGCAUGAAUAUGAAGUCUUAGGUAAGCAACAAAUUUUUGAUGAAAAUUCUCCAUCUAGAAGGAGGGAAAAGCUGAAAAGUAUUCAAGAAAUGGUUAGUGACAUUUUGAUUUUGAAGCUCAGGAUAUCAGAGGACAUCAAUGAUCUUCAAAUACUGCAAUGAAGAACUUUGGGCACACAGAAUUCAUUAGUAUUUUCUCAAUGAAGCGUCCAAUUGAUUGCUCUUUAGUACUUUGCCAUUUUAAUUUUAAUGGUAUGCUUCCUGUCUGGUAACAUAUGCAAGAUUUACUGCGAGCUUUGAGCUUCAGGGCAUAGGUGUUCAAACUGGAAAUACCCAAAAUACAAAGCCCACACUUUGCUCCUCCCUGUCCUACAGUCAUCAAGUCCAUCUCUUUUUGAGGUGUCUGAAUUUCUAUGUUGCACACCUCUGACUGGAGCUUCAGCAGCACGCACUUUUUUGACAGUGCUUGGCAUGGUCCUGCAGCCCUCAGAAGGGGCACAGUGCAAUCAGCAAGCUGAGCACCUCUAACACGAAGCCAGCUGGAUCAGGCUGCUGCAAACAUGGAUUGGACUCCCUCAAAUUGCUCACUGGGACCAUGUGCCACUGCUCACAUUAAGCUGAGAGCACCCACCCUCAGCAGAUAUUAGACCAAAGCUCAGGUGGAUAUGUAUAUAUGAUAUGUCUUUUUAUUAAAAAGAAGCUAUAAAUGAUCUCUGGCAUAGAUACCAAGACAAGAACUCCGCUCCCAAAUGACUGCCCUGACCACUUGGACAAAGGUGAGCUCUGUCCUGCACUUACUGUAUCUGGCUUGACCUGAGGAAGAGCCUGAGCUUGUGUCUGGCAGAAACCUGGCAGUAGGAGUGCAGCGCAGCCGUCCAUGGGCAUCUGAUGUCCUGUUCCCCCAGGUUCAUGGGUAAAAGCCUCUGGGAGCCAGGAUAGCUGCAGGAUGCCAUGGGACACGUGGCUCUGAAGAGACCAGGUCAAGUCAUGCUGGGCUUGAUAGCUGUCCCAGCAGGCUGGUCCAUGGGGCAGCUCUGGUCAGAGCCUGCACCUCAGCAGUGACCCCCAGGCUGUGUUAGCUGGGGUAUCUUGCUGUCCAGGGUCUAAAUGUGGUCAAGCAUUCUAUAAAGGAAAGAUCAAAUUGUGCGGUUUCAUCAUCUGAAAGUAGGGAAAAAAGGGAAUGUAAUGAAAAAUGGGGAAAUUAGUCUUGGUGCAUGUGUGGGUCAGUCUGCUUUUUUGUUUUCAACCACUUAAUUAGAAAAGGACACAUUAAAAUUGUUUAAUGAUUCCAAGACAAUGUAUUCUUCUGUGUUCAGGGGAAGUUGGGAGAAGUUCAGGUGACAAGUAAAAUUUGAGUUGUACCUGUGUAGCUGUGACUGAAAUGGGAGGGUUCUGCCUUCUACAAGGUUCACAGAAAAACUCGUGUUAUUCCUCAAGAAUUUCCUGUGUAGGACACCUUCUGAGCACAGCUGAUGGAGUGGCUACCAGAUAGCACUCCCUGCUCAUCCCACACAAAGUCAUGUCAGGGAAUGAAUGGAUCAUUACUUCAAGCCUGUAACUGAUUAGCAGUGCUCCAGCUACAUGAAAUGGAAGUGUUAAGGUGCAACUCAUGCCAGGACUGUGGCAUGGUUAUGGAAGAGGUUUAUGCAGCCAAAAUAUUGGUGUAACUCCUUUUGGACUCAACAGGCUACCUAGCGGCUUAACCUGCUACUGAAGGUCAGGAGAACAUCAUUCAUCUUCUACAAUGCCUGUACAUCACCAGCUACACUUCUGGAGAUAUCCUGGAAAAUGAAAUUGUGAGAACAUUCCAAGCAGUUCAGUAGCAUUACUGUCUUUGACAAGAUUCUCUUGACAACACAAAAACCUUUGUGCACGUAUCACCAUAAUACCCAAUAAAAAUCAAAAGUCCCCCUUGGGACUGCUCUGCUGUGCACAGUAUUUCAGAUGGGCUGGCAAUAUGAGGAUUCAGCACUACAAUGAAAACUAACUCAUGGUUUCUCACCCACAUUUUCAGUUUAAGCAUUUUCUGUUACUUUGAAUGUUAUUUUCUUAUUUUGAAGAAAGGUUUCUCAUGUAGCCUCCUAAAAUAACACCUAGGCCUGGAAGAUGCUAAUCAUUGUACUUUACAUCCCUCUUUGGAUAAAAUAGGUUAUUCUCCAAGUCAGUGUUCCUGGUUUAGUAAGUCACAAAAGUAAAAACAUUUUCUUCUUUAUAGUUCUCACUGGAAUUACACUGUGAGAACCAUAGUUGCAUAUAAUUGUUAAGACAAUUGUUAAGACUGUGCAAGACUGGUUGAUUACAGGAUCAGACAGUAUGCUCAGAGCAUUAGGUUUUCCCCAAUAUAAGAACCUUUACUCAAAUUAGAAGUGGACUUCAGCAGGCGGUGCUAGCCCUUGAAACCAGGCUCUGUGUCAUCCACCACACUGCUGUGGUUUGGUCUAAGCCUUCUACACUGGAGUGCUGCGAGGAGUUACCACGUGCCAACAGCAUCAUUUCCUGAUGGAGACACAAUCAGAAAGUAUAAGAAAAGAAGAGCAUCUCCCUGAUGGAAAAACAUUAAGAAGAUUAGUGUCUGCUUUAGAAAUGAUCAAUAUGAAAAGGUAAGCAUGUUGUUUUGAUUAGAGAGCAAGACCUAGGAAAAACAGCAAGAAGAAUAAAAGAGUGAAGAAAACUGCAGAAGGAAAGGAGAAGAAAUUUUGGUUUGUCACUGCAGAGGGCUUUUAUUCUCAUUAGUUUUAGGAUUUAGUAUUGUUUUCAGCUAUGAAGAGUAAUUCAGAUUAUGCUGAUCUUAUAUCACUGAGACAAGGAGCUGGACAGAUUCUGCAGAAGAGAAGUGUGUGACUCAUGGAAAGAGUAGCUAGUGAAGAACUUGCUCAACUUGAACUCUAGCUUAUAGGGAUUUUAUUUACCCCUGGGGGAGGGUUAGGGUUUCCAGCUUGGCAUAGAGCUAAACUACUUUACCAGUGAGAGAGAACUUGAGGCCUCAUUUGUCGAGAAGAUAAGCUUUCAUGACACAGGCUAACAUGUACUGAAGAUUAUUGCACAGCCAGAGAGGAAAAAGAUGCUUUAAACAAUGGGGAUUUUUAGCUGUGAAAAUCAGUUAAUGAAGAAUUCAACAUGUAUGCCUAACUCGAUGGUCACAUGAACUCAUUUUCAUUCAAUACACAAGACAAACCAUCAAACAUUUAUUUACAGUAGGCACACUUAACAAAGAAUAAGGAGAAAUUCUCCCUGCUUUAAGGAUCCAUUCCUAGGAGCUCUUUCAACAAUAUGAUACCCAUAUUCUCCUUAACAAAAUGCUCCUUAGAGAAUUCACUCAAAACUAUUUUACUAUUUUUAUUUGUAAUGUGAAUAAUAAGCUAUCUGUCUGGUGACAUCAUUAUGGGUACUUGAAAAAAAUUGGCUGUGGAAGCAUUUGGAAAGGGUUAUAUGCUAGAAAAUUAGUUGCUAAAGAGGUUUGUUUAUUUUAAAUGCAAAUUGAGCCUCAGCUCAUCUGUAAAAAACAAGUUUUAAAAAAAAGGACAAAACCCCCCUACUUCCCUGAUGUGCUGAUCAGAGCUCUUAAUAGCAACCUAAAACAUGCAUAAGUUAAGAAAACUCCCCAGUUUUUCUAGAGCAGGGUAGAACCUAAUCCUCAGGCACAGCCUGCCUGAAAAGUUGCAGAUCACAGAGACAAGAUGAAAUUUGGAUGUGGAGUCAAAACAAACACUUUUAAUAGGUGAGUUAUAAUAUGGAUCCUCUUUUUUUUUUCCCUUUACAAGCCCUACAUCAAAUUGUGAGGAAAUACUGAAGCAGCUUGUGUUAAUAUUUUCUUCUGCAUAACUAUUUGUAAAAAGACUUUUUCUACCUAAUUGUAUUGUCAAGUAACUGAGACCCUCUCUGCAAUGAAGAUGAAUCCUAAAUUCUUUCAGAGGGAAAAAGCCCACCUCAUUUUAAGACUAAGAAAGCCUAAGAAAAGGUGGCAGGUGUGAAAGUUCAAUUUAUUAACUGUAUCUUUGAGAAGAGCUAAAUCAAUUGGUAUAAAUCUAUUCUAGUCUUUGAAAGAUACAUGAUAGUAGAUGACAAGACUGGAGAGCUGUACAAUUUUGGCUCAGAAAAGCUGCUUUAAAUGCUGAAACACUGAAGACAAAAAUGCCGUAGUACUUGAUGAGUUGAACUGUAAAGAAUCACAAGAGAUUCCUGCAGACCCUAAAAAUGUUAUGUAUUGUAUCUUUCACAAAACUGGCAAACACUCAAAAAAACCACUGGUGGUUUUGCCAGUCAGCACUAAGAACUUACAUAUGGCCUUCGUUCAGGUUUCCUUGACUGGGGAGGCUUUCCUCUCAGUUUAAAUUGUUGGCAGUCAUAAUUUCUGAUUUUCAUAAUUGCAGUUGCCUUUAAAUCAACUCUGGAAAUCAUCAAACUUACAGUCCUGGAGCAGAAUCCUGAUCCUUGUCAGCCAUGGCUACAACCCUACAGAAAAUGAGGGGCAGCAAAGGAAUGCUGAUGUGUGGCGCUGAAGGACUCUCUGCUUGCUGCUGGCGUGCCCCGGAGUUUCCCGGCGAUGCGUGCACCCCACCAGGCGCGCACAUCGGAGCGCUCAGCCCGCAGGAUGCUCACAGCCCCGCCCUGCCGGGACACGGGGACAGCCCCGCCGGGAGCAGGGAGGCACCGAAGGCUCGGGCUGCCCCUCGGGGCUGCGCUCCGUGGCUCGGGCACGGCAGGGUCUGCCCCAGCCCGGUGGCGAGGCCGUGCCGGGCACGGAGCACAAGCCCUCUGCUGUUUAGAUGCAUCUGCCUCUGCUUCAGGGAGGCAAGGUGAAUUACGAUGGCAGGUUUGAAACAAUCUGACGGUCAUAGAGGCUUGUUUUAAAUACAGCUGUUAAGGGAGGAUGAAAAAUUACGAUUUUCAUAAUCAUGCCGGUUUUUUGUUAAGCUCAGGUGAACACUGCAAAACUGACUAUAACCUGAGAAAGAUUCUAGUCAAGUAUCGCUCACAUCACUUUGAUCUGGCUAAUUAGAGACCAUGUUUUGAUUAUCUGGUGCAGUCAGCUCCUAGCAGGCCCUUCUUGGCUGAGCCUCUUUGCUAUAAGACCAGACUGAAUUUGUAUUUUCUCAGCGCAGGUGCUGGGCUGGUGUGUGUCUCU